AAGACUAUACUUUCAGGGAUCAUUUCUAUAGUAUGUGCAUUAACUUUUUAAUUUAGGUAUGGUGCCAUUUACAAAAUCAAUGACCCAGGAAACUCAUGCUGAAUGUUAAUUGA
rnacentral:snoRNA from 1 species